GCGCCAGCACCUGGGACCGCCCCUCCUGUACACGGGGGCCGGUGCUGCGCCGAUGUCCCCGGCGCGCCCACGGGCGCGCCGGGGACAUCGGCGCAGCACCGGCCCCCGUGUACAGGAGGGGGGUUGCAGUGCCCGCCGGUGCUUCCCCUCCCUGUCCCCUGGAACGAGGAAGCGGCUCCGGCCACCUUCAGCCGUCACUCGGCAGUGUAGUUCUCCGCUGGUACCAUCCUCUCGCCCUGCAUCCCCGGGUGCAGGGACAUUUCACCACCCGGGGAUUGAAGGUGCUGGCUCUGGACAUGGCUGGGCAGAGAGGAGGGCUGCCCCUGCCCCUGCUGCUGCUGAGCCUUGCCGUGCUGGACUUCACGCUAGGUUUGUCUGACCCUCCACGGAUGGGUGAAGGUGGUG
rnacentral:lncRNA from 1 species